CCGGUAAUCCCCGCGACGCAGGUGACAGUGAGGGUACAGCGACGGAGUCCCGGCGAUCCCCGCGACGGAGGGGACAGCGAGGGGGCGGCGGCGUCGGAUCUCUCCCGGCCAUCUAAUGGAGGGGAGGGGAAGGGGACGGACCGGCCUGCCCCGGCGAUCCCCGCGAGGGAGGGGAAGGCGAAGGGACCGGCCUGUCCCGGAGAACCCCGCGAUGGAGGGAGGUGAAGGCGACGAAGGGGAGGGGACGGCGGGAAGCGCUUGUCGGGGCGCCUGAGGACGGGAGGAGCGGCGGCGGCGAAGUUUGUAGAGGCCGGAGAGGGGAGGAGCGGCGGCUGCGGCGUCUAACGUGACCGGCGAGAAGAGAAGCGGUUGUCCUCCUCCUCUAGCUCUUUCCUCUUUUCUUGAUUCCAGUUCCCAAAGUAGUCAUUUCUCUGACAAGUUGUUUUCAGUGUGCACUUUGUCAAUUUAGUUAGGCAUUGAGGAGCUGCUCAAAAACCUUUGCCAUCCAUUUGUUUGCAUCAAGUGAUGGCACCAGAAAGCUUGAAAUCGUGGUCUGUGAGAUACUACUUCUCAAAAUGCAAACAAACGGAAUAAUUCACCACUCGCCAUUGGCAUGCUAAUGAUUUUACAGGAUGUUGGCUAGGCUGCUUUUUCUGUCGGCCACUGAAACUGCCGCUGCAUAUAACAUACCCAAACCUGAAUAGCUCCUUAGGUUGUACCGAACAGUUCGCCGCUCACUCUGUUUAUUUCCCCCAUGUCCGGAGUUUGCCUUGCCGUCACAAAUCAUAUGAAUCUCUGAAUUUGUACUGCACACUAAUGAUCUAGUACUGCAUUUUCCAUGUAGCAAGAUCAUACAGAUCGCUAAGCUUGCACUUUUAAUAAGGCGGAUGUACCUUUUGGUAGCUUCAUACUACUCCAGAAUAGUUCAACACUAAUUCAGAUAGCUGUUUAGUUAUUUAGAUUUCACAGAGGCACUGAUUUGUCGUGAGUCUAGUUACUUUGGAAUUGUAGACAUCGAUUAUAUGCCUGCUAGUUCUCAACUUUUCAUCUCAACUUUUUUAAUAGGCAUAGGCCAUUCUGGGCAUGCGCCACCCUGAUUUUUGUUGCUGCAUCCAUUGCCACAUUUGUCACGGGCCAAGCAGUACAGGCAAGAUACGUUCGAACCAUACGAUGUUUUGUGGAAUGGUAUUGUUGGCACUUUGUGCUACCUUGAUGUUGGCCAGAAGUGCUUGGAUGAAGAUAGGUUGUCGCCGUGAACGAAUACGCAUGUGUCUUUGCUCGAGUCAGAACAAAAUGUCUGCUUUGUGACAUUUGUCCUUGUAUUAUUCAUGUUUUCUGGCGAUUUGGAAGUGCUGGUAUGCAUGUAUAAGAUGCCUAGUUUGUAACACGACCAAGUACUAAAGCAAAGAAAAUCAGGCUUCUUCUAUGAGUAAAA